UACGUAUAUAAUACAAGUGGUCAAUAGUAGCUGUAAAAUGCAGUAGCAUACGCAUACGACGGAGUAGCAUAACGGGAAAACGUUCGAGCACGGCGCAGACGAUCAAUCAACCCAGAUCGGCUCGAGCUCGCUGAACGUCGCCUUGGGGUGGUAGGCCCCGCCCUUGAGACCCUUCGCCUCCAUGCGCGUGCGCACGCUCCGGUGGACAAAGAACGGCGUGUGGUGCUUGGGGACGUGGCGACCGCGGCCCAUGUUCGGUGCAAUCGCUUUGUGCAUCUUCCGCUGG
rnacentral:misc_RNA from 1 species